rnacentral:lncRNA from 1 species
GCUGCAGGAAUUUAUCGAGAAGCUGCUGCUCCAGCUUCAAAAGAUCUUUUGAAGAUCUUCCAGAUCAGAUCCAGAUCUGAUUUUUGGAGCAAAGAUUCAUGAGGAGAAGAUGAUCUAGAUCCUACUUGAGUGGAUACUGAUAGUGGCCAGACGACUGCAUGACUAUUUUAGAACCUAGAGGUAUUCCUCUAAUCCUCAAGUUUUAGAUUUAAUUUUAGAUUAAAUAUCAGAUAAUAAGAAUUAGAUCUAAUAGAUCUUAAAUCUUAAAAAAGUAGGA